GGAGAGUUCGUGAUUGUGCAGAAGCCCUAAACUGUAUGUGGCCUCCUCAACCAUCGAGGUAUGUUUUGAGUCUUUCUUUCUUUGUAUUUAAGUGCUCAAGAUCUAGGUUUCUAUUUAACUACUGCACUUGAUCUUUUAGAUAUAAGGGUAGUAGAUAGAAAUUGAUCAAUAUCUAUUCAUAGAUAUUGGGCUAGUAGAUAGAAAUGGAGCUUCAUAUUUUAGUGGAGUGAUCCGAUGAGCGUAAGUGAGCGACCCGAC
rnacentral:lncRNA from 1 species